GAGAUUGAGCGCACACCGCAACCGCUCCCUGAAAAAAUUCGAGAGAGAGUACGGUCCGAGCGACCUGGAUCCAAACGGUUCCCUUUUAACAGUUUCACAUACUGUUUGAUUGUGUAUUUGGAGUUCUUUUCACCUUUGCCUGCCGGUAGGUGUUCGCUAUAGCACUCUCGCAGACGUUUUGGUUGCGCUUGCAUUCACCACCCGCCAUUAACAGGUUGCCUAGAAAAAAAAAAUUAGUUGAAAACGUAUCCUCUAAAAGAGCUAUAUCCAACUAUGACACUCUUCAUUGCACUCCAUGAACCCUUGUUAUGCAUGAAUGAUGAAUCCGUGGUGGCAUGAAAAAUGUAACUGCUAGAUACUCUGCGGCGGAUGGUGCCCAAGCAGAAUCCAACUAUGAGCUCUUUCCUUCUUCUCACGCGGUUACGUUGGUGACCCUUGGUAUCUUCUUU
rnacentral:rRNA from 1 species